UACGGGGGGGGCAAGCGUUGUUCGGAAUUACUGGGCGUAAAGGGCUCGUAGGUGGCCAACUAAGUCAGACGUGAAAUCCCUCGGCUUAACCGGGGAACUGCGUCUGAUACUGGAUGGCUUGAGGUUGGGAGAGGGAUGCGGAAUUCCUGGUGUAGCGGUGAAAUGCGCAGAUAUCAGGAGGAACACCGGUGGCGAAGGCGGGUCUCUGGGCCGUAACUGACGCUGAGACGUGAAAGCGUGGGGAGCGAACAGG
rnacentral:rRNA from 1 species